UUAGUUGACGAGCCAACCUCCGUUUAAAAAAAAAAAAAAAAAAAAAAAAAAGUUAUCGUGGGUUGACAGACAGAAUUUCCCAGCACUAAGUUUCUUUGUAUAAUCCCUGCCAUGCUACUGUAGCCUAUCAGGCUUUGUUGAGCUGACUCGCUUGUGUUUCAGCUGCUAGUUUCGGAAACACUGGAGGGAGUGUGAAGUACUGGGACUUGUGAGGAAAUUAUUUGUUUCAAACUGGCUAUGGUACAUUUUGUUUUUUAAUUAAUGCAUUAUUUAAGCAUUCAUUUUUGUCUGGGGGGGUAAAACCCCACUUGCGUUUUAAAGAAAAACGAGCUCGGUUUGGAUAACUGUAUCGCAUGAAAAGAAACUACAGCUGAAUGAGGAUUGUACGAGAAUGGCGAGGGACUCUUUUGUUUUGUAGAAGCAGUUUAUGGGCCGGACAGACGUGUGAAGGCCAGCGGCGUGGAAGACCUCAUCACAGAGACGCUGAGAUUCGCGCCUCACACAGGAGGAAAGGAGCGACAGGCAACUUCGUGGAACUGACAGUGAAGCCGGGCCAUCAUUCCUCUGAAGGUACAGCAAUGCAGAAUGAGAGAAACUAUGAGGAUUGUUGAUCCAAUUGGGACACUUUUGUGAAGACUUGAGCGUUACCCAACGAAGAGCCUACAGUGUUCCUUCUCCUUUGUCACUCUGGCACAUAGAUGGGAAUCAUGAGUUAAUUCAAUGGAGGAUAGUCAUUCAUGGCGGCAUUGAUGGCUACAGUAGAAAAAUGGUGUACCUGAAAGCCAGCAACAUCAACAGAGCUUGUACAGUUUUUGAAAGUUUUGUUGGAGCUGUAUAUCAGUUUGGCUUACCAUCACAAGU